rnacentral:rRNA from 1 species
GUUGAAAAGCACUCUGAAGAGAGAGUUAAAAGACCGUGAAACCGCUCAGAGUAUAAGCCAAUGGUUUUCGGAAGGCAGGGUCUAGAUUUCCUCUCUUGGUCUUCGGGCCGAGAGUUGGAGUCUAUCGUGUAAGUAGAGAUCAGAAGGCGCCGAGUGGCAGUGGCAUUGAGUUGAUAACACACCCGAAAAUGGUAUUUGCGGGUCCCAGAGACUUUUGUAACGAUGGAAGCUCCGUCUGUGGAGUGGAUAUCCUUUGGACUUCAGCAAGCCGGCGUUUAUCGCAUUUACUAACGAGUUGACUACAUACUGCCCACCACAACUCUUUACGAGGUCAGGCACGCAGGACGUGGCUUUGAUGGUGCUCUGCGCGUUCACAAAAGCACAGGGUUCUAGUGUACCGUCGGAUGCACAGCCCGGUAGCGCGCGUCUCUAGCGCCCGGGUGACCCUGUGCCGGCAGGCGCUUCCACGUCCAUCCAGAAAGCGUGACACUCUUUGAUCCUCUGUGAAGGUUGCUAUUCUGACUACCCUCAUACCUGCAUUCGCAGCCGUGAUGGCUGCGAUGAAGAGACUUCAGUAGUGCGGGCGUAACUCCAAUGAUUUGUCGAAGGCUCCUGCUAGUUAGCAGGGGCUGGAGGCGAUGAGGGGUGUCAGGACGAACAUAGUCUCUGUUGGUGACGGGGUGAUUGG